CCUUCCCUCCCUUUUCUCCUCGGUUUUCCCUCCCUUCGCUCCCUUCGCUCCCGGCGCCCGCUGCUGCCUGUGCCGCGUGGCCCCCGUGGGUGCGGGUCACGUCCAGCCCGUGCGGGGAAACCGGGCACAGGCGGACACGCAGACAGACAGACAGACAGGGAAUGGGCGGGCACGGCUCUGCGGUCGUUGGAGCUCCGUUGAGCCCGGCUGGGAGAGGGUUGGGUGUCGUUGGGGUGCAUGAGUGCAGGUUGGAUGCACACAGCCAGCAACCUCCGAUGAAAGCUGCUGCGGUAUGAGCAAGCAAAUUCACACGGCAGCAGUGUCUCCAUAAUGCCUGUAAUAAGGUUCUGCCAAGACCAGAACUAACCCAGUCCUGCAGAUUUGAUUCAAAGGACAUUAUUGUUUGUGGAAAAGCUCCCAGUAAAUUCAGUACACGCUGGACCUGCUCUUUAGACCUGCCUGCUGCAAACCAGCUCGUGCUUACGUUUGUAGUGUUAGGAUACACCCUUCAUUGACAAGCUGGUCUUGCAUGUGGAUUUGCAGUGAGGAUCAAACUCCAAU